UGCCAGCAGCCGCGGUAAUACUGAAGGUGCAAGCGUUAAUCGGAAUCACUGGGCGUAAAGCGCUCGUAGGUGGCUUUGUAAGUCAGAUGUGAAAGCCCUGGGCUCAACCUGGGAAUUGCAUUUGAUACUGGCAGACUAGAGUAUGGUAGAGGGAAGUGGAAUUCCGGGUGUAGCGGUGAAAUGCGUAGAUAUCCGGAGGAACAUCAGUGGCGAAGGCGACUUCCUGGACCAAUACUGACGCUGAGGUGCGAAAGCGUGGGGAGCAAACAGGAUUAGAUA
rnacentral:rRNA from 1 species